UGAGGAAUAUUGGUCAAUGGGCGAGAGCCUGAACCAGCCAAGUCGCGUGAAGGAAGACAGUCCUAAGGAUUGUAAACUUCUUUUAUACGGGAAUAACGGGCGAUACGAGUAUUGCAUUGAAUGUACCGUAAGAAUAAGCAUCGGCUAACUCCGUGCCAGCAGCCGCGGUAAUACGGAGGAUGCGAGCGUUAUCCGGAUUUAUUGGGUUUAAAGGGUGCGUAGGUUGUUCGGUAAGUCAGCGGUGAAACCUGAGCGCUCAACGUUCAGCCUGACGUUGAAACUGCCGGGCUUGAGUUCAGUGGCGGCAGGCGGAAGUCGGGGUGUAGCGGUGAAAUGCAUAGAUAUCACGAGGAACUCCGAUUGCGAAGGCAGCUUGCCAUACUGCGACUGACACUGAAGCACGAAGGCGUGGGUAUCAAACAGG
rnacentral:rRNA from 1 species